rnacentral:lncRNA from 1 species
CGCGAGCGUACGGAAAGGGGAGGUAGGGGAGAGCCCCGGAGGAUGUGAGUGGGGAGGGGGCAGUCGCCCCCCUUUCCCCCACCCUUCCCUUCUAGCUGGGCUGGGGUGGGGGGAGGGGCCGGGCUGAGGCGGUGGCGGCUCGCUCCGGUAGGGCAGGGCCGGCAAGGGCGGGACUGGCCUGCUGCGGGCGGACGAGGGAGACGCGGAGCUAACGGGUCCGGACGUCGGCGGCAGCGGCGGCGGCUGCGGCGGCUUUCUGCACGGGCGGAGGCGGCGGCAGGAUCGGCGAGCAUGGCCCGCGCGGCGCCCAGGGCUGACUGAGGUGUUUAAAAAAACUAUCAGAUUGGAUAAAAAGCAAGAAAUGGUCUGGAGCCUGGAGAGACCUGGUCAGCAGGACGUGGGGACUUAACAGGAAUCGCCCUGGCCUUCAUCACAGCACUUUGUAAUCACCUGUGCCUUUGUAUUUGCCACAAAACUGGAAGCUCCAUGAACACAGGACAGGGUCAUGCUACAGCAGCCCCGCACCUGAGAAGUGAGGGGGAAACUGAGGGGGGCUUGCUGCUAGCAGGAGCUAACAGCAAGACAGCAGGACAGCUGGAUGGCUUGGCGUCAGGGGAGCAGGGAUGGGAAAAGCAGCCUCUGAGCUCGGGCCGGCAAUACCAGGAAAGAGGCCUGGGCCCUGGCAGGGAGAUCGACACACGCUCGGCUGACCCAGACUGCAUUCGAAGCAGCACCCCGCAGAACAGCAGCUGCGCCCAGGCCCCAGAGGACCCCAUUGCUGGAGCAGGAGGUCUGUAACCCCUUACACAACUGCAGUUGGGGCUGUGACCAUUAGGAGAAAGGACCUACACCUCGUACAGGAAGUGGAAGGGCAGAACCUAACACAAGGAGGAGCUUGGUCUCUGCAGCAGAGUUUUCUGACACCCACAGAGCUUCCUGGGUUUCUUCUCUCAGGGUUGGGGCCUGGUUCCCCUCCCUUGGUGGAAGGGUGGACACCUCUUGCAUGGAAUCAAGGCUGCUUGAAGCCCACAUUUUCUCUGUUGUGAUUGAGGUUCAAGGGCUUCCCCGCUGCAGGGGACGGGGGGCUGCCUCGGCAUCUGCUCAUGAGCCACAAGGACCCCGAAUGCUCCAGACUGGACUGUUUCAAGCCGCCAAAAAGGGGCGCCCCCAGAGUUGGCAGCCAGCAACCCCAAGGGACUAGAAGGCUGGAAUGGACUGACCUUCCCCUCCUCAGGGCGGUGGGAGAGGCAGAGCAUCUGUGGCCCAGCUAGUGACGGAGAGACCCAAUGAAGCCAUAAGCAGGAGCCCAAGUGUCUCAGGGAGAGGGGAGCCACGCUUGCCUUGCGCUUUCUCCUCACACUGGAAGAGGGUGUGGCCUGGGACUCCUGCGGCUAGCUCCUCUUUGGCACACGCCCUUAUGCCCUUUGUACCCCGUGCUAGAACAAGCAGGCUACGCUGUGGCUGGCCCACUGGUGGACUGGGAAAGGAGUGGCCUCAGUGACACCCGGCCGCCCACCGGGCUGGUGGUCUGG